rnacentral:rRNA from 1 species
UACAGAGGUCCCAAGCGUUGUUCGGAUUCACUGGGUUUCAAGGGUGCGUAGGAGGGCAGGUAAGUCAGUGGUGAAAUCCUAGAGCUUAACUCUAGAACUGCCGUUGAUACUAUCUGUCUUGAAUAUUGUGGAGGUGAGCGGAAUAUGUCAUGUAGCGGUGAAAUGCUUAGAUAUGACAUAGAACACCAAUUGCGAAGGCAGCUCGCUACACAUAUAUUGACUCUGAGGCACGAAAGCGUGGGGAUCAAACAGG